rnacentral:rRNA from 1 species
CGGACGGGUGAGUAACACGUGGAUAACCUACCUAUAAGACUGGGAUAACUUCGGGAAACCGGAGCUAAUACCGGAUAAUAUUUUGAACCGCAUGGUUCAAAAGUGAAAGACGGUCUUGCUGUCACUUAUAGAUGGAUCCGCGCUGCAUUAGCUAGUUAGUAAGGUAACGGCUUACCAAGGCAACGAUGCAUAGCCGACCUGAGAGGGUGAUCGGCCACACUGGAACUGAGACACGGUCCAG